CAGCGUUGCGUGUUUCUUGCCGGAGGUAGAGCUACUGGAUGGCCGAUGGGCCCUACAAGGUUACUGACGUCAGCCAAACUCCGAAUGCCGGUGAAGUUUGAGCAUUGCAGUGAGACUGUGGGGGAUAAGCUUCAUAGUCGAGAGGGAAACAGCCCAGAUCGCCGGUUAAGGCCCCUAAGGGUGUACUAAGUGGAAAAGGAUGUGGGAUCGCGAAGACAGCCAGGAGGUUGGCUUAGAAGCAGCCAUCCUUUAAAGAAAGCGUAACAGCUCACUGGUCUAAAUAAGGGGUCCUGCGCCGAAAAUGUAACGGGGCUCAAGCCACGAGCCGAAGCUUCGGGUGUAUCGCAAGAUACGCGGUAGCGGAGCGUUCCCUAGGCCGUUGAAGGGAUACUCGUGAGAGAUCCUGGAGGUAUGGGAAGUGCGAAUGCUGACAUGAGU
rnacentral:rRNA from 1 species